GGCCCUACCGUGCCGGCAUCGUUCUCUGUCUCGUACCGCAAAGCUCCAUCUCUGCAUGUGUCACUCGCUCCCUUGACCAGCGAGCCCGCUGGAAUUGACUGACUGGGACCGACGUUGCCGUUCUCAGUAAAGGGGAGCGCACAGGCUCGGGGAAGGUCCCGUUCUCUGAUGAGGAGGUGGCUGCCUGCGCUCUGGAAGCAGGGGAGUUCAGGGUUACCUGGAUUGUUUCCAGAGUCCCAUUUUGGAGACUUCAGAAGCUGUGUGGGUACCUACAUCCCAUCUGUAGCCUCGAACCGGCUCCUCCUGGGGAGGACGGUGCCUGGGGUAAGAAGCUCAGAGACCAUAAUGACAUCACUGCAACCAUGAUUUCAACAGGCUCAUGCACUGCGAGGUUAUUGUGAUCUGAAAUCUCUGCUCCUGGAAAGAGGAAUUUAUUCACAAGAUUUUAAUCUAGGAUGAUCCUUCACUCCUACAAACCUGCUGACGAAUGAUGGCAGUGUCCCCUGAGUCAAGCUCACGACAUGCUCAGGAGCUGCCUGCCUCUGGAGCAUCCUGCAUCACGGCCCCAGGGGCCCUGAGUGCAGGGAGGACCUGUGAGCCACCAGUAAAGCACGCA